UAGGGAAUCUUCGGCAAUGGACGAAAGUCUGACCGAGCAACGCCGCGUGAGUGAAGAAGGUUUUCGGAUCGUAAAACUCUGUUGUUAGAGAAGAACAAGGACGUUAGUAACUGAACGUCCCCUGACGGUAUCUAACCAGAAAGCCACGGCUAACUACGUGCCAGCAGCCGCGGUAAUACGUAGGUGGCAAGCGUUGUCCGGAUUUAUUGGGCGUAAAGCGAGCGCAGGCGGUUGCUUAAGUCUGAUGUGAAAGCCCCCGGCUCAACCGGGGAGGGUCAUUGGAAACUGGGGGACUGGAGUGCAGAAGAGGAGAGUGGAAUUCCAUGUGUAGCGGUGAAAUGCGUAGAUAUAUGGAGGAACACCAGUGGCAAAGGCGGCUCUCUGGUCUGUAACUGACGCUGAGGCUCGAAAGCGUGGGGAGCAAACAGG
rnacentral:rRNA from 1 species